AGCAUGGUGUAGUGGUUUGAGUGUUAAACUAGGAAUCUGGAGACCAGGGUUUGAAUCCUUGCUAGGCUA
rnacentral:tRNA from 1 species